GAGGAAUUAUGAGGUGUAUGAGAUCCAGA
rnacentral:piRNA from 1 species